AUUGAACGCUGGCGGCAGGCCUAACACAUGCAAGUCGAGCGGUAACAGGACUAGCUUGCUAGUUGCUGACAAGCGGCGGACGGGUGCGUAACACGUAGGAAUCUACCCAGUAGCGGGGGAUAGCCCGGAGAAAUCCGGAUUAAUACCGCAUACGCCCUACGGGGGAAAGCAGGGGAUCUUCGGACCUUGCACUACUGGAUGAGCCUGCGUCGGAUUAGCUUGUUGGUGAGGUAAAGGCUCACCAAGGCGACGAUCCGUAGCUGGUCUGAGAGGAUGAUCAGCCACACUGGGACUGAGACACGGCCCAGACUCCUACGGGAGGCAGCAGUGGGGAAUAUUGCACAAUGGGCGAAAGCCUGAUGCACCAUGCCGCGUGUGUGAAGAAAGCUCUAGGGUUGUAAAGCACUUUCCGCGAAGAAGAAAAGUUGAUGAUUAAUACUCCUUAGCUGUGACAGUACU
rnacentral:rRNA from 1 species